CUGAUGGCGACCGGCGUACGGGUGAGUAACGCGUAUCCAACCUGCCUUUACUAUGGGACAGCCCGUCGAAAGGCGGAUUAAUACCGUAUGUUGUCAUGUUGAUGCAUAUUUUCAUGACCAAAGGCUUCGGCCGGUAAAGGAUGGGGAUGCGUCUGAUUAGCUUGCCGGCGGGGUAACGGCCCACCGGGGCGACGAUCAGUAGGGGUUCUGAGAGGAAGGUCCCCCACAUUGGAACUGAGACACGGUCCAAACUCCUACGGAAGGCAGCAG
rnacentral:rRNA from 1 species